rnacentral:rRNA from 1 species
AACGUAGGUGGCGAGCGUUAUCCGGAUUUACUGGGCGUAAAGGGUGUGCAGGCGGGGUAUCAAGUGGUGUAUGAAAGGGCGCGGCUCAACCGCGCUAGGUUAUGCCAGACUGAUGCUCUUGAGGACCAAACAGGGCUGUGGAAUUCCGGGUGUAGUGGUGAAAUGCGUAGAGAUCCGGAGGAACCCCAGAGGCGAAGGCG